ensembl:lncRNA
ACCACACAUCCCACGUACACACACACCACCCACAAAUAUACAUACUACACACACACAACACACACAAAUACACACCACACAGCACACACACACACACACAUCACAUACACACACCACACACACACACACACACAUCACAUACACAUACCACAUAUACCCCCCACACAAAACACAUACCACCCAAACACAUACAUACUACAUACACACCACACACCCCACGCACACACACACACCACCCACAAAUAUACAUACCACACACAUACAACAUACAUAUACAUACCACACAGCACACACACAUAUCACAUACACAUAGCACAUAUACCACACACACAUAUAUCACAUACACAUACCACAUAUACUCCACACACACAACACAUAUCACCCAAACAUAUACAUACUAUACACACACCACACAUCCCACGCACACACACACACAAUAUACAUAUACACACCAUACACACACACACAUAGCACAUACACACCACACACACCACACACACACACACCACACACACCACCCACACACCACACAUACCACCCACACAUAUACAUCACAUACACACACCACAAAUACCACACACACAUACAUCACCCACAAAUAUACAUACCACACACACACAACACACAAAUACACACCACACACACAUCACAUACGCAUACCACAUAUACCCCCACACACAACACAUACCACCCAAACACAUACAUACUACAUACACACCACACACCCCACGCACACACACACACCACACACAAAUAUACAUACCACACACACACAACACAUAAAUACAUACCACACAGCACACACACACACAUAUCACAUACACACACCACACAUACACAUAUAUAUCACAUACACAUACCACAUAUACCCCACACAUACAACACAUAUCACCCAAACAUAUACAUACUACACACACACACCCCACGCAUACACACACACAAUACACACAUACACACCACACACACACACAUAUAUCACAUACAUACCACACACACCACACACCCACACACCACCCACACACCACAUACCACCCACACAUACACAUCACAUACACACACCACAAAUACCACACACACACACACCACACACACACACACAUCACCCACAAAUAUACAUACUACACACACACAGCACACAAAUACAUACCACACAGCACACACAUAUAUAUCACAUACACAUACCACAUAUACCACACACACCACACAUACCACCCACACAUAUACAUACUACACACACACCACACACACACAUACACACACAUCACCCACAAAUAUAUAUAUCACACACACACAACACACAUAUACAUACCACACACCACACACACACAAUACAUACCACCCACACAUAUACAUACUACACACACACCACACACACACAUACACACACAUCACCCACAAAUAUAUAUAUCACACACACACAACACACAUAUACAUACCACACACCACACACACACAAUACAUACCACCCACACAUAUACAUACUACACACACACCACCCCCACACACACACCACCCACACAUGCACAUACCACAUGCACACCACACACACUACACACACAUAGCACACACCACAUACACAUACUACACACCACACAUACAUACAUAUCACAUACACACACCACACACACACACCACACAACACACAAACACACACACUUAUAUAUACCACAUACUCAUACCACACACACCACACACACAUCACCCACACAUAGCAUAC